AAACUUAACCUGGAAAAGUCGGUGGGCUUGCAACUCGGCACCUGGAGAGGCAAGUCCAUGCCGUCCAACAGCACCUUCAUAGUGGGACGCUGGACGGACGGAC